GAGGUUUUAGUUUAAUUCAGCGCCUGGAUUGCAGUCAGGAGAUGCGCAUGAGAGUUGUGUAAGCCUUC
rnacentral:tRNA from 1 species